UCGUCGCAUCCGUCGUCGUUGUCGUUGUCGUUGUCGCUGUGGUUGUUGUUGUCGCCGCACUCCAUCUAGUUGUUGUUGGUGCAGCAGGCAACACCAACUAACCAACCAACAAACCAACCAACCAGCCAGCAACAUCGGGCUUUCAACCGCCAGCAAAACAACAAUUAAGCCAACCACUUAUAAUAUGCGUUCGCUGAACGGAAAAUUCAUUUGCGCAUAUGGAAUGCUGCACACAUAGAUAUAUAUAUAUAUAUCUACAUAUAUAUAGCCCUACAUAUACAUAUAUAUAGAUAUUUAGCUAUAUAAAAAUAUAUGUUAUACACACACAAAUCUACAUAAAAUCUAAGUGCAAACCAAUUGUGAUUUAAGCUAAUGACCACAACCACAAAACUAAAAGCGUAUAGAGCAGCAGAAGAAAAAGUGUAUAAAAAUUUUUCAAGUUUAUUAAAUAUAUGGAAAUCAACCAAAAGCCUUGUAAAUAGCUAAAUACAAAACCCAAAGAACAUAAACUCUUUUCUUUAUGAUAAAACAAAGGAAAUAAAAAUAAACCAAAGAAAACCAUGAAAAACAAACAACGAAUAAGCAGACAACGCCGUUUACAACUUCAUAGAGAAAUGCAUUGCUGAACAACUGGAGACUACAGACGACUCCCUAGAAAACCGAGGGGCCUGCGAAUUCGGAACGAUCUCAACGCAAAAAUGGCACCGAAACGCACUGGGCAACAACAGCAACAAGGGACGCCACCAACUGGGCAAAAGCCGCUGCAGCAACAACAGCAAUUAGAGACAACAACAAAGGCCCGGCAACGAUAUAGAGCGGUGGAAAAAUGAAACAAAAACCAGAAACGAAUUUUCCACUCAAAUUUGCAUUCAGCCAAAGAAGUACAGAGGUCUAAACAAAGAAGGAAGAGGAACAACACUCACAAAACAACAAAAAACGGGGCUCACUAAGAAAGUCGCCAGUGAAAAGGGGUCAGAGGGCACGCACACACAAACAGACCGCAACACAAAUACCAGCAUACAGAGCGCAUAAAACACAUAAAACAUUCAACACACGGACACAAAGGACGACGAGUGCAUUGUGAACAAUUUUCAACGAAUUUCCAAAAGUCUACAAAACAAAUUUAACAAAAGUUCAUUACAAAUAACAAAAGAAAAGCAUAAAAAAUAUUUGAAAUUUGCUCUGUGAUUUUCUAUCAGAAAUGGUUUAGUAAUCCAAAUAAUAAUAAUAAUAAUAUUUAAUAAAACAAAGUAUUUAUAAAUAUUGCUAAACUGCAUUCCAAGCAACCAAAACAAGAGAGAAGUUUAUCAAAUCCCCAAGGAAAAGCUUUAAAUUCAAUCGAAAACGUAAACGUAAACCAAACAAUUUCUAUAAAUAUUACCAACCAAAGUUUAUUACACUGCGCCUAAGUAGAGCAGCUAACGCUAGUCAAGUACCGAAACACGUCAACGAACUCCGAUCAGAACCACAAUUCCUCUGAAGGACAUCCACAGACCGGAGCCAUGGACGAAAUGCCCGACCUGUCGCACCUCACGCCCCACGAGCGGAUGCAGAUCGAGAAUGUCCUCAUGCGGCAGAAGCAGGAGGAGGAGAAGCAGAACGAGAUCAUGCGGCGGAAACAGGACGAGGUGGUCACGCUGGAGAUGCAAAUCAGACAGCGCUCCGAGCAGCAGAAGAAGGCUGGCGUCGAGCUGGAUGCCACCUGUCACAUAUGCCUUAAGACCAAAUUCGCCGACGGAGUGGGCCACAUUUGCCACUACUGCAACAUUCGCUGCUGCGCCCGGUGCGGCGGUAAGGUGACGCUCCGCAGCAACAAGGUUAUUUGGGUGUGCAUCCUGUGCCGCAAGAAGCAGGAGCUGCUGUCGAAGACUGGCCAGUGGAUCAACAAGACGGCGGCCCAGCAAGAUGGUUUCAUCCGACGCAUCGAGCCGGAUGGGAGCAGCGACAUAUCGCAGCAUCCCAUCGUGGAUCCGCACGACACCACGGACAAGCGGCCCAAGCUGGAGCGGACGCGCAGUGCCGCCGAGAAGGAGAACCUGCCGAUGCAGCGGGCGGGCAGCAUGCUGAGGCGCCAGUACUCGCAGCAGGAGCAGCCCACCAACCGCCGCCUCUCGGCCUCCGACAGCGGGAUGGACCCCAUGAUGAGUCCCGGCCAGCAGAUGCAGCACCACCACCAGCAGCAGCAACAGCAGCGCUCCAGGAUGCAGCCCAUGAAUCCGCAGCAGGCGCAGCAGGGAUACGGAGGGCAGCAGCAGCAGCAGAGGUCGGGUGGCGCCUAUCCCGACGACGACCCGCGAUACUAUCAGGGUGAACUGGACGGCCUAAUGAGGCAGCAUCCGCACCUGGCGCAUCCCAGCCAGGUGCAGCCGCAACAUCCGCCGCAGUCGCAGUCGCACACGCAGCACCAGCAGCAGCAACAACACCUAAUGCCGCAGCAGCAUCGCCAAUCACCGCAGCAACAUCCGCAGCAGCAGCAGCAAUUUGCAGCCAGGCAGCAGCAUCAGCAGCAGCAGCAAUCCUACCAGGCGCAGAUACACCAGCAGCCGCAGCAACAUCCGCAUCAGCAUCCCCAUCCACAGCAGCAGCAACACCAGCAGCAUCAGCAACAUCAGCAACACCAGCAACAUCAGCAACAUCAGACGAUGCAGCAGCAGCAUGGCCAGCAGGCGGCGCAGAUGGGUGGCUACCAGAAGCCGCCACCUUUGACCCGCAACCUGACCAUCAGCGGGGGUCAUGCGAUGGACUCCAGUGCCUACAGCCAGCAGCAACAGCAGCAGCAGCAGCGGCGCGCCCUGGCAGGAUCGCAGUACGCCUCGCAGCAGCAGAGGUCCUUCAGCAGCUCGGAGGAGGAGUUCCAGCAGCAGCUGCUGGCCGCGCAGGCGCAGGCGGCCGGUUCGGGGGGCGUGGCCACGGUGACCGCCGGCUCGGACUAUGACGGCGGGCGCCUUCAGGUGCGCACCUCUUUGGAUCCGUGGCGCCAGCAGCGCAGCCUCAACGAGCGGGAUCUGCUCAGCGCCGGCGGCGGUGGUGGUGCUGGUGCCCUCGGUGGUGCUGACUUCCGCCAGCGGCUGUACGCCUCCGCCGAUCAGCGGGAUCGCUACGAGCUGCAGCUGCAGCAUCGCGAGCGCUUGGAGCAGUAUCCGCUGACGCGUACCGCUCGAUUGGACGUCCAGCAGCGCAACUCGCUGAACCGCAGCAACCACGAGCGGCAUUUCUCUAGCGGAUCAGCAGGAGGAGCGGGUGGAGCGGGUGGUGGUGCUGCUGGCGCCUAUCGACGUGCCCCGCCCUUGGCAGCCGCCGGCGGCGGUGGCAGCAGCAGCAGCAGCACCACUAGCAGCAGCUACUAUCCCCAGUCGAAGCAGCCACAGAUUGUGAUUGGUCCGGGCACGGGCUACGAUCGGGGAUUGGGAACGGUAUCGGGAUCAGGAUCAGGAGUAUCCAUGGCAGCGGCGGAGGCCGGAGCAAGGGGUGGCCAGCGUAGUGGCCUGCUGGGCGCCACGAGGGGCGGCGGUGGCAGCAGCUCCGUCAGCUCCACAGAGGCAGCCUACUGGGAUGAGCCGGCCACCAGUUCCUCCUCAUCGGCGGCCCAGGAUUCGCGGCGCUUCACCGAGCGCAGAAUAAAGAAGACGGUGCGUUUCGAUGCCCAUGACGAGGAGGCCUCCAUAUUGGCCACCACUGCCUCACUGCCACCGGUCACGGGAAUCCUGCCCUCCACGGCCGUGGAUGUGGGUGCGGCCACCAUAUUGAGCAGUGGCAAGAGCCUGGAGGCCGGCGGAAUGGGAGUUCCGGUGGCAGGCGAUUGGUCGCGCUGGGAGGCCGAAAGGCAGGGCAGCCAGGACUCGGCCACCAAGGAUUCGGGCAUCGAUACCAGCAGCACCUUCACCAGCAGCGAGGACUCGAAUCGUGGAGAUGGGCCCAAGAACCCGGUGAAUUGGCAAACAUCCGCGGACAAUACUCGCCUGAUCGGGCACAUGAUAUUGCGUAAAUACUAUGAUGGGGAGGAUAUAUUAGGCUUAAAGGUCAACGGCGGUCAGCCCCUGUUAACGGGAACGGGAACGGGAGGAUCGGGAGUCGGAGGCCCAUGCGGGGCCAUUGUGGAGAAGGUGAAGCGCGGAUCGGUGGCCGAUCUCGAGGGAAGGAUUCGACCAGGCGACGAGAUCCUCGAGUGGAAUGGCCGCGGGCUGCACAACAAAAGUGCCGACGAGGUGUACGACAUCCUCGACGAGAGUCGCCUGGACGCCCAGGUGGAACUGAUUGUGAGCCGGGCGAUCGGCAGCGGCAGCGGCGGUGGCGGCGGCAGUGGCGGGAGCAGCAGCAACGUCAGUCCGAUCAGCGGAGCCUCCGGCGGAUCAGGCCACAGCAGUGUGCCCGCCCGGCGCUCCUCGGCCAACUUCCCGCACAGCGGGCUGGCCAGCAGCAUGGCCGGCAGUGCGGUGGUCAGCAGCGGCGGACGAUAUCUCCAGCGCAAAGCUCCCGCCGUCGAGGCCGUUGAAAUCCAUCGGGACAAGCCCAGUGUGCUGAUCACCUCGCCCGGUUCGCCGGACAUCCACACGAGUGUUUCCGGACCAGGUUCGGUAGCAGGAUCGGGUUCGGGCUCAGGAUCUGGAUCUGGACUCCGGCAACGUGGCGGCGUCGGGCAGACGCAGCGCCUGGGACCAAGCCACAGUACCCACAGCCACAGCAGCAGCGGGAGUGGCAGCGGCAGCGGCAGCAGCACCAGCAGCGUCCACGCCCCCGCCACCGCCCACGGCCCCACCCACGCGUCCGCUUCCGGUUCCGCCCCUGGCGGCCUGCACGGCACAACGACGGCGGGCCACCAUCACCACCCGCACCACUACCAUCCGCACCAGCAUCCGCAUCCGCAUCAGCAUACGCACCAGGGUCCGCCCACCGCCCACCUGCAAGGCCACGGGGUGGGCGGUGGCAUCGGCAUGGGCAGCGGCUCCGGCACCACCACACAGCACAUCCCCAUCGAGGGGCGGCUGCAGCUGAAGCUCGGCUACGACCAGAACACCCUGCAGCUGAUCGUGACCCUGGUCUGCGCCACCGGUCUCUCCCUGCGCCAGAGCGGAGCGGGCCGGAAUCCCUAUGCUAAAGUGUUCCUUCUGCCCGAUCGGAGCCACAAAUCCAAGCGGCGAACCAAGACGGUGGGCACCACCUGCGAACCCCGAUGGGGCCAGACCUUUGUCUACUCCGGUCUGAGACGCUGUGACCUCAAUGGCCGACUGCUCGAGGUGACGCUGUGGGACUAUGUGCGGUAUGGGGCCAACGACUUCAUCGGCGAGGUGGUCAUCGAUCUGGCGCACCACAUCCUGGACGACGAGGCCGAGUGGUAUCAGCUGCAGCCCCACCAGGACACCUCCUAUCUCUUACGUGACGAGGGCAGCGAUGUGGACGGCCUGAUACUGACACCGACAGAUCAUUUAUCACCGCCGAGCACCAUGUCGCGUCUGAGCGACUCGGACACCACGUCCGACUGCGACAUCGAUGGAAUGACUCCGGGGGCCAGCAUCUCGUCGAUGGGCAGCUCUGCGAGUCCGCCGCCCCUGCUUGAGCUCGAUCUAAACGAGCGUCGGUCCCGACGAGACAUGUCGCCCCAGGGCCGCAAACGGGUGGCCGGGAUGGUGGCCCGCGACUACCGCACUGUAUCUGGCAUUGGACAAAGUUACCACAAUCAGGCCUCUGCCACCGGCUACUUUCGUCGCGGAGGUGGUAAUGGUAUCGGCUCAUCCAUCGGUCCCGGUGGUAUGAGCCUCAGCCAGCGGAGCCACUCGGCGGCACCCAGCGACGGUUACCACAGCAGCGGAGUAGGAGGCGGUGUGGGCGGAGUGCCCUCCGGCGGUUCCGCCUACGGCUAUCGGAGCACCAGUCCCCGAAGGGGAUCCCUCUCGCCACCCGACGACCGCUACAUAGACUAUCCAGUGCUUCCAGUUCACGGCUCGCCCAACGCCCCAUCGGUCUACCAGGGACCGGGUGGUGCGUCCUCAGCGGCGGCGGCUGCCUCGCAGCAGCAGCGAUUCCAGUCGCGAUCGGCCACAGCCACGCCCACGGGAUCCCCCAAGAAGAGGCAACUGCCACAGGUGCCGCAGACCUCUCGCAGUGCCAUGCUGCGGGACCGACUCGGGCAGGACUUUGACGAGCGGUUGGCCUCCGGUGGUCGCUUUGGACGGCACCGCACACGGCAGCCGCACCACCAGGCCACGUACCGCAGCACCGGGAUGGGCGGCUGGGAGCGGCACUACACGGGACUGUCGGACAGCGACCUGCACUCGAUGGACGCCCGGAUGCGACCGCGUCACUCGCUGUCGCCGGACAAGGACUUCAUGGGCGAGUUCGGCGACUCGGACAUGGAGUCGGUGGUCAGCGUGACCUCCAGCGCCUUCUCCACGCAGUCGGAGCGACCGCGCACCUCGCGCGGACUCAGCUUCCCGCGCAACUGGCGCAACCUCUUUGGCGUCCGCCACAGUUUCCUCAGCGGAUCAGGAGGCGAACCCAUCACUGGACUCCGACUGCACCACUCGGAGCCUGGAAGGGCCAACACCAUCGAGGUGGAUGACUGUGACUAUCUGCCGGUGGGCGGUGCCCAGCAGUUGGUGUUGCUGGAGCAGCUGGAGCAACUGCAGCAGCUGGCUGCUCUUGCGGCAGCCGACUCACCGCCCAUUUCCGCCGGACUUGGAAUGCCACUAGCACCACCACCACCACUAGCACCACAUCAGGUACUAGUGACCGAUGCCAACAGUGGCCAGCUGGUGGAGCAAUUCUUCGUGGAGCCCGGCACCAUGGCCGAGGAGAUGAUGGAGCCACUCGAUCCACUCGAUCCCCAUGCGCAUAUGCAUCCACUCCAUUCCGCCUUCUACUCGCCAUCGCCCCAUUUGCCAUUCGACAUCGACAUCGACAUCUAUCCACCACGACGGUCCAACGGACAGAAAACGAACGUACAAGCCGCUACCGCCGCUGCCUAUCCGCUGCCGCUGCUGCCGAGCUUUGAGCAAUUCAAGCGCAUUACCACGCCCAUCACGAAUCUCUUCCGCAGCUCCUCGCCCUCGGGCCUCCAUGGCCACGCCCAUGCCCAUGCCCACGACCACGGCACCACGACGCCCAGUUCGCUGGUGGGCUAUGUGCGAGAUCACCAGGACAAGAGCUGCAGCCACUGCCAGAAUGGAAGUCAGCCGGUGGUGCUGUCAACGCACCACACUUUGCAUCUGACCACCGCCGGUUUGGCGAUUGGCGCUUGCCAGGAUCCCUGCUGUCUGGCGGAUGCCCAUCCGCAUCCGCAGCACCAGCCCAUGGGCUAUACCAUGGGAUCCGGCGAUCCCUCCGCGGAUCCGGCGAUGUGCGGCGAGUGUGUGGAUCAGCACUUUUUGGGCGGGAUGACGGGACCGCAGAUGAAUCUGGGCGUGGUGCCCACCUACCAUGUGCACACCCCGACCCCAAAUGCCCAUCGUCGGGCCAGGGGUCAAAUGGCCACGCCUGCACCACCGCCCACUCAAUCGGUGCUCCGCCUGUCGCGACAGCUGAGUGAAGACGCCUUGGUGGCCGCCGUACCCAUUUCAGAGGCCAAGGCGCAACCCACUUCAAUCCUAAAGAAACCGAAGCUCGAGCGAAGGCGACUCUUUCACGAGGGUCAGUCGAGGUCGCUGGACUACGAUGAUUUGCACACGAAGAGCUGGGGUCGCCGACGCAUUCGCUACGAGGACGAGGUGAUGCCCUCGUCAGCGGACUAUCCCUAUCCGCAUCCCAAUCCCUAUGCCAACCACUCACCAACCACGGCGGCCAUGUCGCGUCGCUAUGGAUCGGAGACCAAUAUCCGGCAGUCGUACAUGGGGGCCAAUGUGGAUGCCAACAAUCCGUUGAGUCACUCGCAUUUCCUGGUCACGGAUGACAAGAUAGUGACCAUAACCUAUGACUCGGAUGUGGGCUGGACGCGGCGGGGCGUGGCUCCAUCACUGUUUCGAGGGGCGCACCGCCAGCGGGGAUUGGCGGAUGCCAGGCAUCAUAUGUCGCUGGAUCUGCAGCGAACUAGCCAGCAGAAGUUGUACGGUCCGGCGGCACCUUACCUCAAGCGCCGAAGGAAUCUGCCGCAUCCACCAAGUGCGCAGAAUGCCCACAAUUUUUCACCAAUGGAGCCGGGUUCGGAAAUGGGAAUGGAACAGGGCAACGGAAUGGGCAGCGGUGGUGCACACAACACUACCGGUACCAGUACACACAAUAGCAACCACCACACCACCAACCACCACAAUAGCCAAGCGAGUAGUGUUAGUGUUAGCCAAAGUCACAAUCAACAAUCUCAACAACAACUUCAACAACAACAACAACAACAAUCAGUUAGGCAAAAAGGGAAAGAAGGCACCACCGCCAAUAGCGGAUCGAUGAUGGCAUCGGAGCAGCUGACGAAAUCUAGUAGUGGGAGCGGUGGUGCAACAUCUGCUGCCGCUGCUGGGCAUCUUGUCGUCGGUGGUACUAAUGCUAAUAAUGCUUCUUCUUCCUCUUUUGCAAAUCCCCAACCACCACCACCACAACAACAACAACUACUACAACAACAACAACAACUUCAUGGAUCACCCAACAAUAUCAACAACAAUAUUAAACGUGCCCCAUCAUCAACACCACAACAACAAAACACAUACACCAACAAUGACGCCAACAACCUGACGCUUGACCCCACACAACAACAACAACAACCACAAUUACCACCCUCACAACAACAACAACCACCAAAUACAUGCACAAAUCUUAUCACAAAUACAACAACAACAUUAACAACAACAACCACAACAUCGUCGAAUGCAACGAAUGCGGCGACAACGACAACCGCAACAACAACAACAACUGCGACAACAACAAAUGCUACAACAACUGCCACAAAUCCAACAACAACAACAACAACGAAUAACACGAACGAACCAAACGCAACAACAACAACAACAACGAACGCAAACGCCGAUGCGGAUGCGGACGCGGAUGCUCCGCUGGACGCCAUCGACUGGGAUGCAAUCGAUGCGAUGCUGGAUGAUGAUUUCAGCGAGUAUGACAAGGACAAGAACGGAGCCGACGAUCCUGGAGCCUCCAAGUCAGCGGAGGGCGGUGGUGCCGAAGAUAAAGUCGAUGGCAGCCUCUCGGACACCGGAAACGACCGGAAGAAGGGCGGCGGCGUCGACCAGGAGCGGUCCCCCAAGGGGGGCAGCGGCAUGGGCAAGAAGUCCAACUCCACCUCGCAGCUCUCGGCCACAGGUCGUAAAAGACGUAUGGGCUUUGGAAAGAAGGGUAAGAACUCGUUCACGGUGCACCGCAGCGAAGAAGUGCUGCCCGGCGAUAUAACGCGGGAACUGCGAAGCGGUGGCGGUGGCGGAUUGGGCGUUAGCCUCGGCGGUGCCGGUGGUGCCAGUGGCGCCGGUGGCUCAGGCGGCGCCGGCGGGGGCGGCCUGUCCCGCGGCUCGUCCUCGGAGGCGGACGCCAUCGAGCAGUUCUUCGGCGAUGGCGCCGGCGGGGAAAGAUUCUCCCCCUCGUUGCGCAAUGAUGGAGCCCUCAACGAGUUCGUGGAUGGUUUGGGACCAGGUCAACUGGUGGGUCGCCAAGUGCUGGGAGCUCCCUCGCUGGGCGACAUCCAGCUAUCGCUGUGCCAUCAAAAAGGCUGUCUGGAGGUGGAGGUCAUACGGGCCAGGGGCUUACAGCAAAAAGCCCAAUCAAAAAUGCUGCCUGCUCCAUAUGUUAAGGUUUACUUGGUAUCGGGAAAACGAUGUGUGGACAAGAUGAAGACCUCCUCGGCUCGACGAACUCUGGAUCCACUGUACCAGCAGCAGUUGGUAUUCAAACAGUCCUACACCGGUUGUAUACUACAGAUAACCGUUUGGGGCGAUUAUGGACGCAUCGAGAAGAAGGUGUUUAUGGGCGUGGCGCAGAUAAUGCUCGACGAUCUGAAUCUGUCGAAUAUCGUGAUCGGCUGGUACAAACUCUUUGGCACCACCUCCCUGGUCAGUUGUCCCACUAAUAUAGGCUUAGGCUCUAGGCGUUCAUCCAUAGCCUCACUCGACUCACUAAAACUCUAGCUCUUAAAGAAACUGAAACUCGGCUAAAACUAAAACCAGAAUCUUUCAAACUCAAGUCGUACAAGAAAAAAAAAAUACAAAGAACAAACUAAAAUAGAUUCGCAAAUCGCAAAUUUGAUAAAAACAAAAGAACACUUGCAUAUAUUUAUAUAAACCUACACACACAGAACAUAUAUUUAUAUAGUAUUUAGCUCAACGUUUUGUUCAUAGCAAGUUACAAAGAACAAAAGUUGUACAAUUUUGUAGAGUAAUCAGUCGCAAAAAUCCUGUAAAAAGAAAUCCCAAACUAAAAACGAUCAGUUUAAAGAUCCAGCAAAAUCAAUUUGAUAUUAAACCGAUAAUAUAGUAAACAUCAAAGCAUUUGUUUUUAGUUAGCAAUAUAUACAUACGCACUACUGUAAAUGAAACGCUUAUUAUAUAAUUCACGGAAAAACUCACACACUACACCCACACCUACACCCAUGAGGCAAAGUAGAAUGAAAAUUCGCAUUGUGUACUGAAACGUUGAAUGGAAAGUUGAAAGUUGAUCGAAAGCAAAAGCAAACCAAUCAAAAACCAAACUGCAAAACCAAAUUAAUACGAAAAUAACCUUUCGCAAGUCACCAUAAAUCACCGUUACCGUUAAAGUUACCGUUACUUCAACGUAGUUUUCACAUAGACUCGUAUAAUACUCAUAUAGUAACCAUUCGCCCGUGCUGUCAGCCCGGCAGCCAAAUAGCAAAGGACCAAAGGUUAGCCUGCAGCGGCGGAUCCCAAGAUAUAAAGCCGCCCGAUCCUCAUUCGGCAGGUUGCUGGCCUAAGCUAAGUCCACAUCUGAUCUGUUUUUUCUAUUCUACGACGACGGCAGACUUGGAAGAAGAACACAACAAACAAAUUAAGAAAAUGAUAUAGGAAAACAAAGAGAAAUAUCUAAUUUUUAUAAGUCAUGAAAACAAUUGCAUUUAAACGAACCGAGAACAGAGAACACAAGCAGAGCAGUAAAAUGAUUAAACGUAACUACGGAAUACAGAUAAAUGAUAAUUGUAAAGGCAGUCUAUAUAUACAUAUACACCUAUAUAACGGAUAACAUUUGACAAAGGAUACUUGUAAAUUAUGCAUAUUUAAAAUAAUUUUUAUUAUUACACACCUAAGAUCACUAUUAUUUUCGUAAUACGAUUACUGCGAUUAUUAUUACUUAAAACUAUUAUUGAUAAUGAAAAACGAAAACAAAAAAAUACAAAAAAAGAAGAAAACCAAGGGAGAAGGUGGAUAAAGUUCAAGUGCUAGUGUCAGUCAUGCCUAAGCCUUAGCCUGAGCAGAGACGCAGAUGGAUAUAAAUUGUUUAUUGAAUAAAUAGCUAAAUCUAAAUCAGUAAAGGGAGUUAUAGAUUUUCAGAGAGGGGAGUUAUUUAAGUAUAUAUACAUAUAUAAAUCGAUAUAUACAUAAAUAUAUUUUACCGUUUAAGCAAGCAAAGAACCACUAACACUUAAAUAAGCCUAACUUACGAUAAAACCGAUAAAGUUAAAGCUUAAGAUUAGGUAACUAAAAAGGGAGAUAUGAGAUAUGUAUUAAUCGAACAAGAAGAACAAAAAAUAUUUACCAAGCGAGAGAGAUGAGCAAGUUUAACUUAAUAAUGCAAAAUCUGAACUUAAGCUGUACAUAGGAACCACACACGUUACAUAACACACCACAUCCGGUUAACCGAUACCGAUUACCGAUUACCCACAACCGCUUCCCCGAGUUUAGGCUUUAUAGCUAUUGGUUAGCUCUGCGCCCCGUCAAAAACUCGGCAGCCACCCCAAAAUGUACGAGUUUUUGACGUCGGCGAUGAGGACAUACACACACACACACACACAGUAUCGUAUAAUUUAACUUAGAGCAAAUGGAAAACUAUCUCUCUAUAUGAAUAUACUAUACAGCGAUUCCUUGUUUUUUUCUGUAGAUCCCCUCGCUUCACUUUGUCGCGCUUUUAGAGUCGGUUUAGAAUCCUUUUUGUCGCCUUGGUUCCAAGCAACUUGCCUCGAAAAAACGCAUCAAGUACCUUCAAGUUAAUAGUGUGAGCUGUAAAAAUCGUUACCUGCUUGCCAAAGAUACACGUACAUUAGCAUAGAUGGAAAAUGGAAAAUGGACAAUGGAAAAGUGUAACGGAAAACCAAAAAUAGUUUGCAAUUUACUGCAUGUUAAUUUGAGAUAUUUUUGUCAUUCUUUUGGGCAACAUUUUGCAAUGCAUUCCUGGGAAGAGCAAACAUAUCACUGACCAGCGGACAGAGAUGAUGAUGGAUGGGAGCAGUUAACUUUUAUACAUACAUAGGUCAUAGGACAUAGGUCAGAGGGCGGCGGGAUAGCUACAUAUGAUUAUGAUACGACACCUAGCUAUUGUUCCUAUCCAGUUGUUUAGUGCUCGUUCUUUUUGCUUUCACUCGUGGCUACGGAUAUUGAGUUGAACCUUUCCGUCCAUUCAUUCAGAUACACACAGCUAGACAUAGACACAGUUGCAGUUACAGCUACAGAUACAGAUACAGAUUGAGGUAAAGUUAAAUAAUAUAUAUAUAUUGACAUGUGCAUAUCCAUCCAAGCAGCAGCUUCCUAUAUCAGAACUAAACAACUAAGAGAUACGUAAAGAAAUGCCGAAUCACAGGGAAAAUGCAUUCAAAAUGUUGCUGCAAAAUAAUCACAAGAAAAUCACGCAUCGAGCAUUCGAAUUUCGAAAUAUGAGGAGGAUAACGCGCUUCAGAUAUUUUGGAAAAGUAAAACUACCAGCGAGGUUUCCAGCAACUAAUUAUACGAUAUAUAAGUCAAAGGAACAUACAUUCAGAUACAUACAUUAUAGAUAAUCAGAUUUGUAAUCUCCGCUCUUCACGAACCUCAUACGAACUUUUCUAUGAUAAAACUCUCUCUAUCUCUACCUAUAUAUUGUUUCCACUGCUCUCCUUCGGCAAACAUUCAAAGAUGCUUUGAUUACUCAGCAAACCAGCAAAGAGGAAGAACAGAAUUACUAAAAACCUCGGCGAGUUCGACGUUAAAAUGCCCUUUCCUGAAAGAAUUGGCAUCAUACAAAAAAUUGAGAAUUGUGCUGAAAAAGUUCAAAGAUUUUUCAACUUUGGAAGGGGCAUUUCUACCGUGCAGUCAUAACAGAAAUUCU